CACAGAGUGGUCUCUGGUCCAGGAGGCCCCGGGAACAGGGCCCGAAGGUUAGGGCCGCCUCCAAACCCGCCCCGCCCACAACUUCCAGGUUCAGCCCACUGCCCUGGGAGCUCCGGUUCUGCACAGACCCAGGCCUCCGGGCUCUAGAGAAGAAACAGAGUGGGUUUCUGGCAAGCGCACUCCAACAGGUUUGGGUAACCCGGAAGAGCACCAUCUCCCACCACCACCCUCUUGGCCUCCUAACUCUCAGCCCAGUGAGUCCUGUCCGGGUAUGAUUAGCAAAAGACCGUGCCUGCAGCUCUGCGUGCGGGCACUCAGAUGCCAUUUCUCAGCAGCCUACAAAGAGCAAUGCUGAGCAUGGCCCUGUUCUGCAAAGGUUUCCGGAACUUUGAAGGCCUUUCUCCGUCUAAACUUGUUUCUUCUGUAACUUUGAAAAACCUUUCUUUAAACUUUUUUCUUCCUUAACUCUGAAGACCUUUCUCCCUCUAAACUUGUUUCCUCCAUGAGUGCUCCAUCCUUGCAUAAUGAAGAUUGUCAACUCAAAUAGCAGGGACGUCUCGGCCUCUCCCAUGAGCGUGGCACUGGGCUGGGUGCUGGGCACCUGGCUGAGGACACAACCUCCAACCUGAGGUGCCUCGCAGGUGAUGAGAACACCAGACGUGCUCAGAGGCACCUCCUAGAUGUAAUGACAAAAUAUCUAGAUGGUGGCAGCCUCACACAAAUUCCCCAAGAAAGUCCCCGGCCGACACUAAACUCCGGACGGACUUUAUGGAGGAGCUUCCGUGUUCCCUAUGGUUCCCGCUAGGACCAGCCUUGCUGCUGCUGCUAAGUCGCUUCAGUCGUGUCCGACUCUGCGACCCCAUAGACGGCAGCCCACCAGGCUCCGCCGUCCCUGGGAUUCUCCAGGCAAGAAUCCUGGAGUGGGUUGCCAUUUCCUUCUCCACUAGGUUACUAGCCUUAGGACAGCCUCGUUUUCCUUGACUUGAUUUUGUGUCCGUACCAUCAACCGCAGUGUCUGAACAGAUUUCUAAAGGGAUUGUGAGGCUUUCUGGGGGAUGUGAUUAUGCACAAAUGUUAAAGCUCUUCAGCCAGACGCAGAGGGAAACAGCAUUUUCGAUCCAGGUCUUGCCGGUGAUGUCAGUGAACAGGUCCUCUGAGAAUGACCUGGAGGUCCUGGGAGGUGGCGGUGGGGGAUGCGUCCUGGAGGGGAUUGAGGAGAAGACAGUGGCAGGAAGGAGCCUUGAAAUCCAAGCCAGGCCAGAUCGGGAAGGGCCUGCACCCAGCACACAGAACCCAGAGAAGGGCGCCCGGUGGUUCCGGGGUUCCGCACAUAAAGUGCUGGGCAGUCAUCUCCCCUGCUCCCUGCACCUCCUAAACGUGACUUCAGGUUCCGGAUUUGCCCCAGCUCAGAACCUCUCACAUGUGAGUGGCUUUCCACCUGGAAAAUUGGUCAGAUCCUAAAUGCAGCAGACCUCAUCUGUCCCGCACACCUGUCUUAUCACCCCCCAUCCCAGCUCCUCACCCCACCUCAGAGCAUGUGCGUGGUGGGCUCUGCUUCAAGACGAUCCACAGACUGUUUUCUUUGCAGAAACACUGCAGGACCCAUCCCAGAGUCUCGGGUGUUCCUGCCCUGUGAACACAAGGGUAAGACAGGAAACAGCCAGAGCAAGCAGAGGUUUUAAAAGAACGAUUUGCCCUAAACUCAUUUAAUAUUUUUUUCAUUUCAAUUAUCUCCUGGCCAAUUGCUGGAUUUUAUUAUGUUUAUUUGUUCAUGUCAUGCACAAUCCACCAAGUCAGAAGGUGGUGUGUGAGAGGAGAGGCAGACGUCUCAGCUCAGCGCUCUGAAGUGGAAGAGAAGGGUGUAGGGGUUCCCCGACCCCCUGAAUGGGGUGCUCUUCCCAGAGAGGGCUGCAGCUCUGGCCAUCCCUGGGCCCCCGUGCCAGCUGUCCUUCCGCCCAGGAGUUAGCGUCCAGCCGUCUGGAGCCAGGCCUCGUGCGACGUGUCCGCAGGAAGGAUAGGAGGCAGAGGGCUUCGUCCUGCCGCGGGCCUCUCUCUCCACGGGGCGUCCAGGUGAGCCCUGAUCCAGGGCCGCCUGGACGCAGCGCCGGCCCCAGCCUCCCCUGAUGUUCGCAGCCAUCAGGGCAGACGCCCGGGGAACGCCUCUGACCCCAGGAGGAGAGGCAGGAGGCCCGCAGGCCCGCCGCGCGGCUCCCGGCCCUCUCCUGCUCUCAGAGACGCUGCUUCAGGGCCCAGGCGUCGCAGGCCUCGCCAAGGGCGCUUCCACCGGGACCCAGCAGGACGCCCACCCCCACUGUGCGCGGAGCCAGGGGCCUCUGCCCGCUGGUCCUCAGCCCCGGGCCUUCACGCUCCUGACAAGAGGGCUCUCUCCUCUACCGUGGACGUGGGCCGCCCCUGUGUGCCAAGGCCUGAGGGACUUCCCUCCGUCCGGCUUGUAUCCCCGUGGUAGGAGACGGGUUUAACCAAGGAUGAAAAACCUGAGCUCGAAAUGAGAAAAAAAGCUAUUCAUUUUUUCUCCCUCUUAUCCCAACAGUAGAUACAUGGACUAUAUCCUGCCAGGCUCCUCUGUCCAUGGGAUUCUCCAGGCAAGAAUACUGGAGUGGGUGGUCGUUCCCUUCUCCAGGGGAUCUUCCCAACCCAGGGAUCGAACCUGGGUCUCCAGCAUUGCAGGCAGAUUCUUUAUCAUCUGACCUACCAGAGAACUCCCGAAAAGAUACAUAGGGGACGUCAAAUCCUUUUAACAAUCAAUUAAAAAUCAAGAGAUUUUGAAAUGCUAUCUUUUCCAUCUUAAUUUCCCGUAUGUGAUUAUUUUUAACAAAGUAGCAUUGUAUCUGAAAAAUAUUUCCCUAUGUGCUUGAAUCUGAAGGAUCCUGCCAAAAAAAGAGGAAAACCAGGCCGCUAGAUGGAAGCAUUUUUGGAAGUUUUCCAACACUGUCCAGAAAGAAGGUUUCUGUGUUUUUCAAAGGCUUUAUUUCAUGAUCUGACUUUCAGCUGUAGAGAAGAGGGAGUUGGUUUCCGGCAAGCGUACCCUAACAGGUCUGGGUCACCUGUCAGAGCACAAUGUUCCACCACCACCAAGGUCAGUCCCUCUUGGCCUCCUAACUCUCAGCCCAGUGAGCCCUGUACGGGUAUUGUUAGCAAAAGACCGUGCCUGCAGCUCUGCCUGCGGGCACUCAGAUGCCAUGUCUCAGCAGCCUACAAAGAGCAAUGCUGAGAAUGGCCCUGUUUUGCAAAGUUUUCCGGAACUUUGAAGGCCUUUAUCCCUCUACACUUGUUUUUUCCUUAAAUUUGAAGACCUUUAUCCCUCUCAACUUGUUUCUUCCAUAACUUUGGAAACCUUUCUCCCUCUAAACUUGUUGCUUCCUUAACUUUGAGGGCCUUUCUCCCUCUAAACUUGUUUCCUCCAUGAGUGCCGCAUUCUUCCAUAAGGAAGGUUGUCAACUCAAAUAGCAGGGUCGUCUAGGCCUCUCCCACGAGCAUGGCACUGGGCUGGGAGCUGGGCACCUGGCUGAGGACACGACCUCUGACCUGAGAAGCCUCCCAGGUGAUGAGAACACCAGAAGUCCUCAGAGGAGAUUCCUGGAUCCCGAGGCUGACCCAGCACCACCCCCAGUGAGGUCAAGUGCCCGAAAUGGUACCAGGAGCUGAGAGGAAGGAUGUGAGAGUCACAGAGGCGCUCUUGGCUCUGCAGCCCAGUCAGAGGGCCAGGACCCCUCCUCUGGCUCACUAAUCACACCCCACCACCACCCGGCGCGUCACAUGGCAGAAAAGCCAGACUUCAACUAUGGCAGUUCGGAGGGUUUUUUCCAGACCAAGGAAUUUUAUGAAAACUACACAGAUUGAAAGCUUCAGUUUCACAAAGAGGUUUGUCUCUAAAAACCCUGUUCAGGCCUAAUGUGGAUUUAUGACACAGAGGAAAGGACCAGGUUGGACCUAAAGAGACACUUAGGAAGCAAGUCAAAUGAUAGGGGUAAAAUUCCCUGAGACUCAGAGCUGAAGCAAUCGCAGUGUGCCUCAGAAAGAGAGUUGGUGGGCAGUUUCCAGAAGACACUGCGUGUCACGUUCGUUAACUUCAGUGAGAAGUGAUGGGAAGCUUGGUAAACAUCUGCCUCCACCACUGUUGAUGGUAAAUACCACCACUGACUUUGCACGUCACCCACUAGGCCCCCGAAGAGAAACCUCCAGACACACCGCUGUGCUGGAGAUGUGGUGGGUUCUGACGUGAAAGGGGCCCGAUUACGUGUCCAGCCAGCAUUGCUCGCAGGCAGCACGGCUGACGAGUGGGGUCGGAUGGCCAUUCCUGACGUGGCUCCUGUGCACCUCCACUAGAGGCCAGCUGCACCUCCCUCCAUUAUGACAACAGAAAUACCUCCGGGCGCGCUACCUGCCUUCAAGGGGGGACAGUGCCCACCAGCUGAUGAUGGUGUCACAGACUCAUUCAGCCCAGGAGGGCAGAAAUCAUGAUAACCGGAGGAAGACAGGAAAAAUCUCUUUGGGACUGAAUCUAACCUGGCCUGGGGAAUACAGGGAAGAGCAUAUGUAGAAAUGAAAGUGAAAAUGGUUCACCAGCAACUUCAUAGAAUUUUCCAGACCCAGGGCAGACUCUGCCACAAUGAGAGUAUAGGUGAUUCCUGUAUCCCCCACCACCCCGACCCGCACCCUGGCCAGAGAUUACCUGCUCCAUGAGCAGAACCAGGACCCCGGGGAACCCCAGUUGGGUUCCCUGGACGCACCUCAGGUGAACGUGCUCACACCCUGCACUAACUGCUGUUGUUGAUCAUAUUACAUGUGAAUUAUAUACAGGA